rnacentral:rRNA from 1 species
GUGCCAGCAGCCGCGGUAAUACGUAGGGUGCGAGCGUUGUCCGGAAUUACUGGGCGUAAAGGGCUCGUAGGUGGUUUGUCGCGUCGUCUGUGAAAUUCCGGGGCUUAACUCCGGGCGUGCAGGCGAUACGGGCAUAACUUGAGUACUGUAGGGGUAACUGGAAUUCCUGGUGUAGCGGUGAAAUGCGCAGAUAUCAGGAGGAACACCGAUGGCGAAGGCAGGUUACUGGGCAGUUACUGACGCUGAGGAGCGAAAGCAUGGGUAGCGAACAGGAUUAGAUACCCUGGUAGUCCAUGCCGUAAACGGUGGGCGCUAGGUGUGAGUCCCUUCCACGGGGUUCGUGCCGUAGCUAACGCAUUAAGCGCCCCGCCUGGGGAGUACGGCCGCAAGGCUAAAACUCAAAGGAAUUGACGGGGGCCCGCACAAGCGGCGGAGCAUGUGGAUUAAUUCGAUGCAACGCGAAGAACCUUACCUGGGCUUGACAUACACCAGAUAGGGCCAGAGAUGGUCUUUCCCUUUGUGGUUGGUGUACAGGUGGUGCAUGGUUGUCGUCAGCUCGUGUCGUGAGAUGUUGGGUUAAGUCCCGCAACGAGCGCAACCCUUGUCUUAUGUUGCCAGCACGUUAUGGUGGGGACUCGUGAGAGACUGCCGGGGUUAACUCGGAGGAAGGUGGGGAUGACGUCAAAUCAUCAUGCCCCUUAUGUCCAGGGCUUCACACAUGCUACAAUGGUCGGUACAACGCGUUUGCGAGCCUGUGAGGGUGAGCUAAUCGCUGUAAAGCCGGUCGUAGUUCGGAUUGGGGUCUGCAACUCGACCCCAUGAAGUCGGAGUCGCUAGUAAUCGCAGAUCAGCAACGCUGCGGUGAAUACGUUCCCGGGCCUUGUACACACCGCCCGUCACGUCAUGAAAGUUGGUAACACCCGAAGCCAGUGGCCUGUUAAAGGGAGCUGUCGAAGGUGGGAUCGGCGAUUGGGACGAAGUCGUAACAAGGUA